UACAGAGGUGCCGAGCGUUAGGCGGAAUCACUGGGCUUAAAGCGUGUGUAGGCGGACGUCUAAGUACCUUGUGAAAUCCCACGGCUCACCCGUGGAACUGCUGGGUAUACUGGGCGUCUUGAGCCACCUAGGGGCCAGCGGAACAAAUGGUGGAGCGGUGAAAUGCGUAGAUAUCAUUUGGAACGCCAACGGUGACAACAGCUGGCUGGGGGUGUGCUGACGCUGAGACACGAAAGCCAGGGGAGCGAACGGG
rnacentral:rRNA from 1 species